AGCAGCCGCGGUAAUUCCAGUUCCAAUAGCGUAUAUUAAAGUUGCUGCAGUUAAAAAGCUCGUAGUUGAAUUUCGGGAUCAAUAUGUUGGUCGUGCCUCGGUACGUACUAGCUUAUUGGUUUCUCCCUUCUGACGAACCAUGAUGUCAUUUAUUUGGUGUUAUGGGAAAUCAGGACUGUUACUUUGAAAAAUUAGAGUGUUUAAAGCAGGCUCACGCUUGAAUACAUUAGCAUGGAAUAAUGAAAUAGGACGUUUGAUUCUAUUUUGUUGGUUUCUAGGAUCGACGUAAUGAUUAAUAGGGAUAGUUGGGGGCAUUAGUAUUCAAUUGUCAGAGGUGAAAUUCUUGGAUUUAUUGAAGACUAACUACUGCGAAAGCAUUUGCCAAGGAUGUUUUCAUUAAUCAAGAACGAAGUUAGGGGAUCGAAGACGAUCAGAUACCGUCGUAGUCUUAACCAUAAACUAUGCCGACUAGGGAUCGGAUGAUGUUAAUUUUAAUGACUCAUUCGGCGCCUUAAC
rnacentral:misc_RNA from 1 species